UGUUGUUCCAUUUUUUGCUCCCUUCUUUCUUUCUUCUCUUAGCCAAACCCAGACAAACUCGAAGCAUAGCUAAAUACUCCCAGAACAAGGCAUACCUUUGCCAAUCGAUGAAGGACUUUGAGAUGGAUUUGGAGAUGCAACAUGACUUGGAGAUGGAGACGAGCCUGGGUCUUUGUCAAAACAGAAUUUCUCAACCAUUGAAGCUUGCAAUUGGCUUCAUCGCUUCUUAGUGAGAAAAAAAUUGGGGUAUCCACCACUUAGGAGUUUGCUUCUUCACCUUUUGAUGUUCAAUUUGGCUUCUGCGUUUUAUUGAACAAAUGGUGUGCUUCGAAUGGCCGUCAAAUUAGUAGCGAAAUUCCCGCCUUUGAUCACAACUCAGGUAUAUAUGUAAAGCUCCAUUUUUCUGUAAUGGGUUAAGAAUUCUUGUACUUCUUAAGCCCGAUAACAUGUAUUCGGAGCUUGAUUUUAAGAAGAGAUAUUAAACUGGACUCCGUGCUUUCACCGACAACUCUCCUUCAAUUAACUCUCUUUAGUUUUGCUUGUAGGUGUUAUUGGAGGGACAGUUCUUGCUGACAUAGAGUGAUAAUGGUUCUUCUUUUGUUUUUCAAUUGUGAUCAAUAAAGGAACAUGUUCUUUGUCUCCAUCCGACUUUGUUUUCCUUGGCUAGAAUACAUCUCCAGCAAUUGCCUUCAUAUUUUAUAUUUGUUUUUCUUUAUGUGCCAAUACCUUUUGGAGGAGUUUAAACAAAACAAUUCCCUUAGCCAAUACGUGGCUUUGCAAGGGAUAAUCUUGUUCAUGUUUUGUUAAUAUGCAAAGGCCAAAACUUGUUUCCUUUCAAUAACUUGGUCACCACUUUGACGUAGAAGCUCUGCAUUAUAUUUAUAAAUGCGAAGCUUUGCUGCAACUUCAUUAUAUUAUUGAUUUGAUAGAGCAACUUGUAACAGGUCUUGCAGGACUUUUGUUUAACUCAUUUUGUUGUGUUGGUGUGCAGGUAGAGCUUCGGUAGUGACCACUGAGAAAGAAUAUAUUUCGAGCUUGCCUUAUAUUUGGGGCAAAAGCUUUGCCUCUGGAAGUAACAGCUUCUGUAAUUGUUUUGAUAUGUAAGAACAAUGCUCUCGCACUGCACCUCAUUGACAAAUACCCCUUUUUGUAUGCAGGUACAGAACAACGACAAAAGCCGCAGUGUCAUAAAUUGUCGAAAGUUAAUUUCUUUUAGUUUCUUUGCACCGCUUUUGUGUUACUUGAAUUGGAAUUUGGGGCAGGCUGUUUGGCUAUGACGGUUGACAGGGAGCAGGGAUGAUUAUGGCCUUUGGUUUCUUUUGUUUGCCAUUUAGCACCAUCGUACUCCAGCAGCCUUGUAUUUGCUUUGUUGCUGCUGAGAGCGAGUUCAGCGAAGCAUCGUAGCUAUGAAAGCUUUGGGAGACAGAUCUCGAUGACGAUACGGCACCCUAAGGCACGCCGUGUUGGAGCUCGACGACAAUAUCGGCACCCUAAGGCACGCCGUGUCGGAGCUUGAAGAGGAUACGGCACCCUAAGGCACGCCGUGCAGGAGCUCGACGACAAUAUCGGCACCCUAAGGCACGCCGUGUCGGAGCAUAUAUGAUAUACCAUAGGGUAUCUGUCGCUGGAGGCCUGCAUCAUCUGAGGACAGCAAAGGAAAGGUGCAGAUCGGUGAAAAGCUCACCUCCUCUUUCUUGCUUUCUUCCUCUCCUUGGCUGCUGUAGCUCUGCUUCUUCACGAUGCUCCUCACACUGCUAUGCUCCUCCCAUUCGUCCCUUUCGUUGCCGUAGAGUAAACUCUUUAUAUAUAGACAACUUUUGUUUGCCAAGAUGACCUGAUGGUGAUGGAGUUGGAGUCAUUAAGGCUGAGAGUUCGUGAUUAAUUUGGAAUCAGUAACUCCACCUUUAUUAACGUGUACACUUCAGCUUCAUUGUUGUAUUCUUUUACACUUCUUUCUUCUGAAUUUGAACAAAGCUAGAGUAAUCCAAAAGUAGAUAGACUUCUGGAAGAAGCGUGCCACUUUUACACUCUCUCCUUUAACGAAAAUGUUUUUUCCUUUA